UACAGAGGUCUCAAGCGUUGUUCGGAUUCAUUGGGCGUAAAGGGUGCGUAGGCCGCGCGGUAAGUCGGGUGUGAAAUCUCGGAGCUUAACUCCGAAACUGCAUUCGAUACUGCCGUGCUUGAGGACUGGAGAGGAGACUGGAAUUUACGGUGUAGCGGUGAAAUGCGUAGAUAUCGUAAGGAAGACCAGUGGCGAAGGCGGGUCUCUGGACAGUUCCUGACGCUGAGGCACGAAGGUCAGGGGAGCAAACGGG
rnacentral:rRNA from 1 species